rnacentral:rRNA from 1 species
UCGGAGUAACUGCCGGUACCUUGACGGUACCUAACCAGAAAGCCACGGCUAACUACGUGCCAGCAGCCGCGGUAAUACGUAGGUGGCAAGCGUUGUCCGGAAUUAUUGGGCGUAAAGCGCGCGCAGGCGGCCUUUUAAGUCUGAUGUGAAAGCCCACGGCUCAACCGUGGAAGGUCAUUGGAAACUGGGGGACUUGAGUACAGAAGAGGAAAGCGGAAUUCCACGUGUAGCGGUGAAAUGCGUAGAGAUGUGGAGGAACACCAGUGGCGAAGGCGGCUUUCUGGUCUGUAACUGACGCUGAGGCGCGAAAGCAUGGGGAGCAAACAGGAUUAGAUACCCUGGUAGUCCAUGCCGUAAACGAUGAGUGCUAAGUGUUAGGGGGUUUCCGCCCCUUAGUGCUGGAGCAAACGCAUUAAGCACUCCGCCUGGGGAGUACGGCCGCAAGGCUGAAACUCAAAGGAAUUGACGGGGACCCGCACAAGCGGUGGAGCAUGUGGUUUAAUUCGAAGCUACGCGAAGAACCUUACCAGGUCUUGACAUCCCGCUGACCGGCAUGGAGAUAUGUCUUUCCCUUCGGGGACAGCGGUGACAGGUGGUGCAUGGUUGUCGUCAGCUCGUGUCGUGAGAUGUUGGGUUAAGUCCCGCAACGAGCGCAACCCUUGAUCUUAGUUGCCAGCAUUUAGUUGGGCACUCUAAGGUGACUGCCGGUGACAAACCGGAGGAAGGUGGGGAUGACGUCAAAUCAUCAUGCCCCUUAUGACCUGGGCUACACACGUGCUACAAUGGACGGUACAAAGGGCUGCGAACCCGCGAGGGGGAGCCAAUCCCAUAAAACCGUUCCCAGUUCGGAUUGCAGGCUGCAACUCGCCUGCAUGAAGCCGGAAUCGCUAGUAAUCGUGGAUCAGCAUGCCACGGUGAAUACGUUCCCGGGUCUUGUACACACCGCCCGUCACACCACGAGAGUUUGUAACACCCGAAGUCGGUGGGGUAACCCUUACGGGAGCCAGCCGCCGAAGGUGGGACAGAUGAUUGGGGUGAAGUCGUAACAAGGUAACC